CACCAUGCUUCUUUUCAUACAUCUGUAAACCGAAGGGCGAUGAUUUCGAAAUAUGGCAGAUGUGGAUCGGUUAACUUAUUAUGAUUCUAUCUACCUUUGGUUAGCAAAAAGAGAACAGCUGACUAUCUGUCAAGCGUGCCGGUGUGAUUUGUCCGUGGCAGAAGCAGUCUAGAAAGUCAACGGAAUAUAGUGCCGUCUCAUCUAUAAUUUUAGAUGACAUCCUUUAUGUCACAUCAAUGAAAAUUCUAAUCCUUCUAAUAGAUUUACCCAACUGUGAGCAAGAGUCAACUUCGGGAUUGUAAGCCCUCAGCGAGCCAUAUUCAAGUUGUAGCACAAAGUUUGUACAGCCGUGAUUAUUCCAGAACACCUAUGCAGUAGUAAAUGCUUGGCAGGAAAAUGGUACGAUAAAAUCCCAUAAAUAUCAAUCUAAUGGAUAGAUUUUUCCAUCCAGGUUUUGCGGCAACUGCCAUAUAGCUUCUUAUUGCAUGAUGGAACAAGGAUUCUCCAUCGUCAUCAAGUAUGUUACACAUGGCGGAACGCUGCUGAAAGAAAGCAGGGACAUGGCGAACAGGACUUCGGAAAAUGUCUACCCCAAGGGUGAUGAUUACAUUUGUCUUCUCACCAUUAAUCAGCUGUAGGAUAAAACUUGAUGGUUUCCUGGGUAAAACUGUGCUGCUAAUGUAAUAUUACUGAUACUUGCUAAUUUGUCCAGCAGUCAUUUAGGAGGAUGAUGAAAUCAGGAGGUUAAGAAGAAGCAUAUGUCUAACGUUGAAUUUUUGAAUGGGUUUACCCAACAUUUUUUCAUUAGCUCAUAGAACAGCCAGCCAAUGACACACAAUUUAACUGUUUGAUAACUUUUUGGAAGGACAUUAUAUGACGGAGGA